UGCAGCCUCUUGGCCCUCCAUGGCACGAGUUUGACACCUGUGAUAUAGACCAACUGAUGAGGGUGCAGAGACAGAGGCUGAAGUCAAGGCAGGUGGGACUGCAGGGAGAACAGACAGGAAUCAGGUUUCACAACAGGCAGCAAACAGCAAAACAGGGCUGCCUGGAAGAGCUGUUAACUGACUGAGAGAGACUACGACCUGGUGCAGCUGAUAUAUGGAGGUUUCUUAAUUGCAGGAUGAGGUGCAGCUGCCCCGACUCCAACACACCUAUCUCCACUCAGGGCCAAGUGAGUGCAUCCAGCUGAUAUAUGGAGCCCUGGGAGCAGGAACGGGAUACUUCACUCUCAAAGUGUGUCAUGAAGGUCAGUGAACGUGAAAGGCCGGGUGCUUUGUUUAUCUUACCACCCACUCCACUGAUGUGCACUCCCACAGUGCCGAGUGGAGCGGCCUGCUCAUGCACAGCCCCUCUGGAUGGCGUCCAGCGCUGCUCUUGGUGGAAGUGAUGAGGAAACUCCGGCCAUUCAGCGACUCUGAGUCACCGAGUCAUGUAAACACUGGUCUGAAAAAAUACUCCAGCAUGUCAUGUGGCUUUAGGUCACAUCAACACAGCUUCAUUCUCAUAGCUGCCUGCCGCUGACUCGGGGAGAUCCAGAGGGACGCAGCCAGACAUGUGGAGCGGGCCCAGAUGUUAAUCUGCUUGUUUUCUCCAGUAAACCUGCUGCAUGUUUCCUCUCGUGAUCGUGCCCUUCUCUGAAUUCCUACUGUCAUAAUAUUUUUGACAUCAAUCCAUCAGCAGGGAUUGCUAAAAGCAUGCAUUAAAGGAGAGUGAAUGACACAAAUGUAAACAGUAUUGACGCUGUUUAUAUCAGCUGAGCGAGGCAAGCUGUGCUGCCAGGAAUCUCCAUCUUCAGUGUUAAAGGCUUGUUUUUAUUCAAACACGACAUCAAAUCUGCCAGGGGCCGAGUGGUGGACCCAGUGUCAGUCCAACUGUGUGCUCAGACCAAACGUGAGCUGACGUUUUAAUGAUUCAUACAAAGUCAAUUCAAAGACACAAAUAAACGUGAAUUUGCACCGGCAAUGCAAAUGACACAAGCACGUGAAAUUUGGAUUGUUGAAUUUUUUUCAGCCUUAGUGACAAAUUCAUUUCACAGCCAUAUUUUACGUGAGUCUCUUAUUUUCCUAACUCUGCAAAACAAUGUCCAUCUUAACAAGUCAUUUACUAUCAUCUGCAAACAGGAUUAAA